UGGGAGACCCCAACUGUCACUGGAAACCCAGCUCUCACGCCAAACUCCAGACUCCAACCGGCCACCCUGGUGUCUGCGAGCCUGUUGGAUCCAGCGCAUGCGCAGCGCAAAACUUCCACUGUUGAAGACGCCUGCCCAGCUAGCCAGCUCAGACAAGACCUGCUGUCAACAUUAAACCUUUCAAGGAGCUGGCUCGUACAAGACCUGUCAACAUUAACUCUUUCAGCCAGGAAGCUCAUACAAGACCUGUCAACAUUAACUCUUUCAGAGAAGAGGCGUGUCCAUUUACCUUUGGAACAGAUGAGAUCAAAAGUUCAUUCAAAAGGGAGUCAAAUUAAGUCAUAAUAUUAUGUCCUCCACCCCCCCCCCUCCCAACCUCGUCCGCUCUUAUAGGAUUAGGCAUCUGUAUUAGUUGCAAAAUUAGUAAUCACAUGCAGCUGUGUACAAUUUUUAAAAAAAUCCUCAUUGAAUUAAAAGAAAGAAAUAUCUGUGAACAAGUUUGGAAGACGACAUAAGUUCAGAUAAGAGAUACAAAUUAAUAAGAUAAGAUAAUACUUUAUAGUUCCAGUGCGAAUUUUUCUUGGCAAUACAGGAACGUGAAAAAACAUACAUAUACGUCUGCCAUCAGUGAAAAUGUUAACAUUUCAUGUGUUAUAAAUAAAGAGCUGUAUUUAUUGAUUAUUUA